AGCCGGAAUUGCUAGUAAUGGCAGGUCAGCAUACUGCCGUGAAUACGUUCCCGGGCCUUGUACACACCGCCCGUCACACCAUGAGAGUUGGGAAUACCCGAAGCCUGUGAGCUAACUUUCAGAGGCAGCAGUCGAAGGUAGAAUCAAUGAUUGGGGUGAAGUCGUAACAAGGUAGC
rnacentral:rRNA from 1 species